rnacentral:sRNA from 1 species
GGGUUAGAUGGAGAAGGGGGGUUCAUUUCUUUCUGAUAGUGACGGCCUUGGUUCACAGGCUGAAAGAAACAAAACAUCUGUGAGGCGGAAACCCAUCAGCUUGGCGACCUUGGCACACACCCUCGCAUCAGUCCUCAUUUCUGAUGUUUUGAUAUCAACGGUUCUCAUUUUUUGAGAUCUUAUUUCUGAUAUUCCAUCUGCAGGAGAGAGCUGCGUCCCCUUCCCAGCGUAGGCAGAGGCUCUGGGAGACCCAGCAAUCCCAGGGUGGCAUAACCCACAGAACGCAGGCCACUUUAAAGGGUUCCGUAGCAUCUGUGAUGUAAACAGAGGCCUCCCUCACAUGAGAGCUCUCCGUGUGGAAUCUUUAGGCUGUUGCUGCUUCUGGAGACAGCAGAGGAAAACAAGGUCUCCUGCUGAAAGCACUGGCAAUGGCUAGAGGUGCAGCAAAACAUAUUUAUGUCUCAGGGCCAGUAAGUUGGCGAGGACCACUCUGUUGCCGUUAGCUUGGACUGUUCAUGUGAAUCUCAGGUCCCACCCCCAAAUGUAUACGAAAACUGUGAGCAUGGAUCAGAAUGAGCUGACAAAGUGGUGCUAGUAAAAAUGGGGACUCUCUAACCCCCCCCACAAUAAACCUUUCCUCAUUUCUUGAAACACAACUAAGAAACACACAAAAAACAAGACAGAAAAACAAAUGAAUGCCAAUAAUAAAACUUGAUUUUCUUCCUCUUUGAGGAGAAAGUUCGGACAGCUAAUACCAACUCCAUUUUGAGGAUAAUUCUAAAUGUUUUCCUAACGUGGCUAACAAUGACAAAAUUCUAACAUGGAAACCACAUUAUUUUGGCCUUCUUGUUUUACCACACGGUGGAACUUGGCAUGCAUUUGUGAAGUGCAUUCAGAACUCCUGCUCCCACAGGGGUUGCUAAGGCCCCUUCACCCUAGUGAGGAGAUGUGGUCCCAUGGUGCAGAGGUGCAGAGACCAAGCUAAGAUGUGUCAGUCACCCAUGUGAGAAUCAUGUCACUUAGCCUGGCUACCUGCGAUGCACCAUGCAUUUCGGUGCUCUCAGAUAAUUUGGUGAGUGAACGGCAGGCAACACCGUCACGGUAAUCAGAAAUAACAGCUGGGAGAACAGUGGAAGGGAAAUAUGUCAUAAGGCAUAACUCAUCUCACCAGAGAAAUCAAAAUUUCAGCAAUUUGCAAGUGAAAUUUAGUUGGCAAUUUAGGCUUUAUUAUUUAGAGCGAGAGCUGCUUCUCUGGAUCAGCUUGCACUGGGAUAGGAAAUGUCCCAAUGAUGCCGUCGUUGGCAUCCACUGUGCGUCUGCAGCACUGAGGCCUCUGGUGAAUGGACUUCUGCUUAUUUAUCUCCACAUGCACUUCCAGAACUUUCUGGUUUCAUCUGAUUUUAUCUACAGUGCAGCACAAUCAAAACCCUACCUUCCUAGUUUACCCAGAUAACAAACAAGCCUGGCAUAUCCUGCAAGAGCUGAGGAACUAAUGAGUCUGUGGAUGAGAAGAAAUUAAGACCCAUUAGGGCCCCAGUCCGUGUGCACGGCCCCAGGAUGCCUGCUUAGCUCCAGGAGCCAUGAGAAGAGGAACUUGAAGAACUCCUGCCAGGUAGCAGGCUCCUAACAUGGAAAGGCCCUUUGGGGCUGGCUCAGCAGCUAAUGGUGCUUUCCACAGAGCCUGACAACUGGGCCCAGUCAAUCCCUGGGACUGCCAUGGUGGAAGAGAACUAAUUCAGCCAGGCUGUGCUCCAACAUCCAUGCCCGUGCCAUGGUGCGUACCCCUCACAGAUAGAUGAACGUAAAGGACUUCUUUAAUAAAAAGUUAGCCACCCUGUAAGGCAGAGGAGGCGGUGGAAACAACCAAACCCAGACAAAAUCCAAACAAACAAGUGGGUGUGUCCCAAAGGGAGAGGUCAAUGGAAGAGCAGGCAGGCUGGCAGAGAACAGGGACAGGGGACACUGUGGCUGGAGCGCAGUGUCAUUCGCCUGUGCACAUGCUGGAUGGGGUGGGGCAGGCAGCCAGGGUGAGUCUCAAGUUCUAUGUGAGCUGAGGGAGAGGGCCUGAAGAGAAGGGUAUCUGGCAUAAGGAGAGACGCUGCUCUCACCUCCACAGUCUGCCUCUUUCUCGAAUCUGAAAUGCCUUCCUCUGUUUUGUCUACAUGUAAACUUGCACUCCUUCAUGAGCUCUGACCUAAGUGAGGACGUCUGACAGCGUGCCUGGGACCUAGAGGCCAUGUUGAUAUGGAUUGCUCCUUCCUAUACCUUCCCACAGUUCUUUGUCUCACUGACACUCAUCAUCCUGAAUCGCAGAGCUUCUGUCGCUCUGUGAGCAUCCUAAGGUGGGGACAAGUUUUAUCCCUAACAUCCCUCCUAGUCCCCACCACAUUGUACUGAAUAGGUGCGGAAUGAGCGCAUGCGACACAGAUGACGAAGUCUGGGACGGGAGGUGGACAUUUACUCCUGCUCUGGGCACAGAGGAAGAUAUGGCCUUCACAGUGAGGCCUAGAGUAGUGCCACCGAAAAUCCUGGAGCUGUCUGGGUGUCAAUCCGGAGCAAGGUACACGGAUACCCUCACCGUGCAGGUACAGAGCUGGAACUGUAACUUGGAGGGAAUGGUGGAGAGAAGGGGGAAGUGAGGCUGGGGUAGGGUGGUCUCUCAGAGUGCAGGAAGCCCUCUGCCUCAGACUCCAGAGGCAAUGGGAGUCACUGCUUUAGGGAGAACGGAGCGUGUGUGAAUAUCCACAGAGACCAGAAGAGGAGGUUGGGUCCCCUAGAGCUGGAGUAACAGGCAGCUGUGGGCUGCCUGCUGUGGCUACAACAGACUGAAUUCUGGCCAUCUGACAACUAAGGAUUUUACUAAGUGCUUAUUAUGUUUCAAAUUCAGCAGCAGAUGUUUUACAAGGCGGUAGGCCACCGGGUGAGUGCUCCUAACCCUUAGAUCAGAGGCAAGGAGAUGAGGUAUGAGAAAAGCCAGACAAACAGCACCGCGCCAAGUCCCUCUUCUGACCUCCGAGGAUACCAGGAGUGCACAUGCAGGAUGCGGAGUUCAUUACGGAAUGCAAUUUCCCAUUUGUUGCUAGUUCCAGUGGUGGAGCAAACCGAACUUGAUGAAAUAAUAAACACGUCCCAUGAAUCUGAAGAAUAGGACAGCGAUGAGAACCCCGUAUCCAGGGCAACCAAGAGUUCAGACUUCUCAGUCCAUAAAUAAUCAUUCCCCGGCUUGCCCUCUGUACUCCUGGUCUCUGAGCCACUUUCUGACAAAAUGGGCUCCAUCCGGACGGAGGCUGCCACUCUUUCUCUAACUGGGGCUUAAAUGACUGCUGGGGAAUAUUCUAUAAAAAAGGCACCGUUUCACUUCUGUCUGCAACUGACUCUUGUAAUUUUUCUCUGGUGAGAGGAUGCUCUGUGGCCAGAGUCAUGGGGGCAUAGAUACCAUCUAGCACCAAGCUGCCUAGAAAGUUCUGGGUAUCCAUGGCUGCGUCUAAUGAGACCAGAUUGAGCAAGAGGAAGCUGGAGGCAGGGGAGACAGAGACAAAGGUCCCAAAGUGAGCACUGGUGGUAACUGUCCGCCUUUGAACCUCCUUAGAGACUUCUGGAUUCACUGUCCAUGAUGACUUGCAUGUUCUCUCAAGAGCACAGGAACCUUAUCUUCCAUUGGAUGCCUGUAGCACCCAUUUGACAAGCAACUCACAUAUUAAGAGUCAGGAAGACAGCCGGGCCACUUCUCAGGAACCGCAGUGUUCUCACAGGAAGUGGAAACGCUAGUGGCAGCUGGAAGGACUCAUGUAACUAACACAUUGGACUACACGCCAAGAGGCUGCCCAGACACACGAUGUCUACAAAACUGUUGGGGGGCCUGGAACAACUGGCAGAUAGCAAACAAUUACUUAUUAAAUAUGCAAAACUUAUCUUCUCUCUACUACAUUUGAACUUAACAUUAUGUAGGUUUAAAACGUAUCUUAAACAUUUUAAGGAUUUAUUGAUAUUUACUUAA